rnacentral:sRNA from 1 species
GACAUUUGGCUUGUGAAGAUGAUAAGGGAGAAGUUGCCAGACUGCUCAUCAAACAUGGAGCCAAAAUAGAUAUAAGAAAUAAUGACAAGAAAACAGCUUUUGAAUUGGCGCCUAAAACCUUGAAACAUAACUUGGAAAACAGCUUCCAGCAUAUCAGAUAGGGGAGACAUCUUGAAUCAGAGGAUCAUCCGGCAAUGUUGUUGUUGAUUUUUUUUUAUGUCAAGAACUUUAUAUUAAAGUCAAAGUAUUGCAUCACACCUUCAA